rnacentral:rRNA from 1 species
GAUGAACGCUGGCGGCGUGCCUAAUACAUGCAAGUCGAGCGAACGGACGCGAAUCUUGCGGCGUGGUCGUUAGCCGCGGACGGGUGUGUAACACGUGUAUCACCUACCUAUCAGACUGGUAUAACUUCGGGACACCGGCUCUAACACCGUAUAAUAUUUUGAACCGCAUGGUUCAAAAGUGAAAGACGGUCUUGCUGGCACUUAUAGAUGGAUCCGCGCUGUAUGAGCUGGUUGGUACGUUAACGGCUUACCAAGGCAACGAGGCGUAAACGAACUGAGAGGGGGAUAGGCGACCUGGGAGCGGGAACAGGGUCCAGACUCCUACGGGAGGGAGCAGUAGGGAAUGUUACGCAAUAGGCGAAAGCCUGACGGAGCAAGGCGGCGUGAGUGAUGGAGAUGUUCGGAUCGUGAAGCUGUGUUAUUAGGGGAGAACAGAUGUGUACGGAACUGAGGACAUAGUGACGGUAACUGAUCAGAAAGCCACGGCUAACUACGUG